AUUGAACGCUGGCGGCAGGCCUAACACAUGCAAGUCGAACGAGUGGCGGACGGGUGAGUAAUGUAUGGGAAACUGGCUGACGGAGGGGGAUAACUACUGGAAACGGUAGCUAAUACUGCACACCAUCGGUUGUGCCCAGAUGGGAUUAGCUAGUAGGUGGGGUAAAGGCUCACCUAGGCGACGAUCCCUAGCUGGUCUGAGAGGAUGACCAGCCACACUGGAACUGAGACACGGUCCAGACUCCUACGGGAGGCAGCAGUGGGGAAUAUUGCGCAAUGGGCGCAAGCCUGAUGCAGCAAUGCCGCGUGUAUGAAGAAGGCCUUCGGGUUGUAAAGUUCUUUCAGCGGGGAGGCGUUACCCGCAGAGGAAGCACCGGCUAACUCCGUGCCAGCAGCCGCGGUAAUUC
rnacentral:rRNA from 1 species